CGCCUUGCCAGCCCGCUCAGAAACUCGAAAGGAAGUUGACGGGGGCCCGCACAAGCGGUGGAGCAUGUGGUUUAAUUCGAUGAUACGCGAGGAACCUUACCUGGGCUCAAAUGUAUGUUGACGUAUUCUGAAAGGGAUACUUCUUCGGACAAUAUACAAGGUGCUGCAUGGUUGUCGUCAGCUCGUGCCGUGAGGUGUCGGGUUAAGUCCCAUAACGAGCGCAACCCCUAUCAUUAGUUGCCAUCAGGUCAAGCUGGGGACUCUAAUGAAACUGCCUACGCAAGUAGUGAGGAAGGUGGGGAUGACGUCAAAUCAGCACGGCCCUUACGUCCAGGGCUACACACGUGCUACAAUGGCCGGUACAAAGGGUUGCCAAGCCGCGAGGUGGAGCUAAUCCCAUAAAACCGAUCGUAGUCCGGAUCGCAGUCUGCAACUCGACUGCGUGAAGUCGGAAUCGCUAGUAAUCGUGAAUCAGAAUGUCACGGUGAAUACGUUCCCGGGCCUU
rnacentral:rRNA from 1 species